GACGAACGCUGGCGGCGUGCUUAACACAUGCAAGUCGAACGAAUAGCGAUGGCAGCUUGCUUCUAUUAAUCUUAGGGGCGAAUGGGUGAGUAACGAGUAAUCAACCCGCGCUUGAGGGGGGUAUUACAGUUGCUAACGACUGCUCAUACGGUAUACGACCUAAUCACGGCAUCGAUGAUAUAGUAACUGUGGCUGUUACUGGUAACGUUGCAUUGAAGGUUGGGGUUGCGUCGGUUGAGCUAGUUGGAGGGGUAACGGACCAUCACGGUGAUGAUGUGUAGCCGGUAUGAGAGGAUGAACGGCCGGAUUGAGACUGAGACACGCCCCAGACUCCUUCGGGGGGCAGCAGUGGGGAGUCUUGCGCAAUGAGCGUAAAUCUGUCCGCGCAGCGACGCGGGAGUGAUGACGGACUUCGGGUUGUAAAGCUCUGUUAAUCGGGAGGAAAGGGCUUCUUGCGAAUAGUGAGAAGGAUUGACGGUACCGGAAUAGAAAGCCACGGCUAACUACGUG
rnacentral:rRNA from 1 species